rnacentral:lncRNA from 1 species
AGCCCCCUGGCCUUCUCUCCCGAGGACACCUGAGCAAGUCGCGUCCUUACAUCAUUUGUUGAGCGUCUCUUAGGGACCCGUGCCCGAGUUGCUUCACCUCUAAGGAGAUUUGGUCAACCCCCAGCAUCACCUGUCAGCGCUACACAUACCAGGAAGCCCUCCCAGGGAGGUCAACUGCUCACCUCGUGCAAACCAACGUGCUACAUCUGAGAAAGGUGGAGACUGGGCGGCAGAACUCCCAUCACCCCUGACACCUGCUCCCCAUCAGAAGGCUGUCUUCCUUCCUCAAGAUCCUCUCACAGCCACGCAUCUGUUCCUCCCACAGUUCCAUCAGCAGCUUUGACUCAAAGGUCUGGGAUUCCCUUUGAAGCUUUUGUUAUAAAGAUAAACAAAGAACUUUAAAAACACAAAGGGAUCAAUUAAUUCUGCCUUUGGGGAUCAAAGAGGACAUCAAAUGAAGGAGACUUUUGAGUUUGGCCUUGAAGGAUGAUUAGUUCUUUAAAAAAAAAAAAAUGAGAAUUCAACCAGAAAGAAAAUCCAAUCUUUUGCUGUCUCAAUUGACUGUCCAGGAUGAAAACAGAGAAAUGUGAUACUUUCUAAGUUGCUUGGCUUUCUAAGCCAUUAAGUCCAGGCUGCAGGAAAGCCAGUGGGGCUUGGGAUGAUGCCAGGGAGUGAGAGAGGGCAGUGCCUCACUGAAGGCAUUUUUGUUCCUUCCAGGUAAACGCUAUCUUGAAAGCAGCCAAGUAAAGUGAAAUAUGCUAUGUUCCAAACCACUACCUUACUGGGUCAGCAGUCAGCUCGGCUGGAUCUGUUGGGAAAAAGACACCAUACCUGCAUUUGAACAAGUGGCUGGCUGUCCUGAUUCUUAACUUUUAUUUCCUUCUACUCAAACUCCACCUUGAGGCCCUCCAAACUCAAUAUUAAAAUAAGAACUUGAUGUAUAGGAAAAUAUUCUGAAUAGCACAUUCGAAGCAAGGCGUGACUCUCAGCCUGAUUUGAAAAUAAAAAGUGGAGUGGUGCACUGCA